rnacentral:rRNA from 1 species
CCUACGGGGGGCAGCAGUGGGGAAUAUUGCACAAUGGGGGAAACCCUGAUGCAGCAACGCCGCGUGAGUGAAGAAGUAUUUCGGUAUGUAAAGCUCUAUCAGUAGGGAAGAAGAUGACGGUACCUGAUGAAGAAGCCCCGGCCAACUACGUGCCAGCAGCCGCGGUAAUACGUAGGGGGCAAGCGUUACCCGGAGUUACUGGGUGGAAAGGGAGCGCAGACGGCAGUGCAAGUCUGGAGUGAAAGCCCGGGGCCCAACCCCGGAACUGCAGUUGAAACUGUGCGGCUAGAGUAAUGGAGGGGCAGGCGGAAUUCCUAGUGUAGCGGUGAAAUGCGUAGAUAUUAGGAGGAACACCAGUGGCGAAGGCGGCCAGCUGGACUGUAACUGACGUUGAGGCUCGAAAGCGUGGGGAGCAAACAGGAUUAGAUACCCCAGUAGUC